AUGCAGGCAGCGUGCACGGAGCCUGGGAGCCUCGUGGCAGCCUGCUUUCCCCUGGGGCUGCUGGGGGGAUUAGGUAACACUCCAAGGCCCACAGAAUGUACGCAACUUGUCCAGGACCAAAGAGAAAGAAUAAGGACCUAGGCCUCCUUCCCACCUCCUCAACAUGGCCCUCCCCAGAUGCUGCACUGCUCAGUUCCACGUUGCACACAGAGCAAGCGGACUGGACAUAUUGGUUCAUUCACCAAGAAUGUACCGGGAACCUACCUAUCAUGCUAAGCCCUGGAUACAAGGCAAAUACUCAUCUGCUAAAAAACGUGACAUCCCUUCCUCCCCUCCAAAGGGAAAAGGAAAGACCAAAAGUCAAAAUGAACAGGCCACAGCAAGGGACUACUGCCUCUGACCAGCAGCCCGCGAGGACCCGAGGCAUGGCACCCGCGUGUGAGAGAAGCUGGCAGCAGAGCCUCCCUGCGUUUGGAAGCCUGGCCUGCACCUCAACUGCAGCUUUGUGAGAGACUCAGCCAAAAUAAGACACCAAGCCCCUCCUGGAACCCUGACCCACAGAAAUGAUGAGAUAACAAAUGCCUGGUUUUGAGAUACUAAUUUGGGGGAUAAUUUCUUAUUCAGCAAGAGAUAACUCAUAUAA